rnacentral:rRNA from 1 species
AAUGAACGUUGGCGGCGUGGAUUAGGCAUGCAAGUCGAGCGCUCAUAGCAAUAUGGGAGCGGCGAACGGUGUAGUAAUGCAUCGGAACGUACCCUUCGGUCGGGGAUAGCCACGGGAAACUGUGGGUAAUACCCGAUGAUAUCUGCGGAUCAAAGGUGAGAUUCCGCCGGAGGAGCGGCUGAUGUGAUAUUAGCUUGAUGGUGGGGUAAUGGCCUACCAUGGCGAUGAUGUCUAGGGGUGUGAGAGCAUGGCCCCCCACGACCGGAACUGAGACACUGUCCGGACACCUACGGGUGGCUGCAGUCGAGAAUCUUCCGCAAUGGACGAAAGUCUGACGGAGCGACGCCGCGUGCGGGAUGAAGGCCCUUGGGUUGUAAACCGCUGUCAGAGGGGAUGAAAUCUCCGGGGGUACUCCCCCGGAGUUGACAGAGCCUCAAAGGAAGCACGGGCUAAGUACGUG